rnacentral:rRNA from 1 species
AUUGAACGCUGGCGGAAUGCUUUACACAUGCAAGUCGAGCGGCAGCGCGGGGCAACCUGGCGGCGAGCGGCGAACGGGUGAGUAAUACAUCGGAACGUACCCAGUUGUGGGGGAUAGCCCGGCGAAAGCCGGAUUAAUACCGCAUACGACCUGAGGGUGAAAGGGGGGGAUCGCAAGACCUCUCGCAGUUGGAGCGGCCGAUGGCGGAUUAGCUAGUUGGUAGGGUAAAGGCCUACCAAGGCGACGAUCCGUAGCGGGUCUGAGAGGACGACCCGCCACACUGGAACUGAGACACGGUCCAGACUCCUACGGGAGGCAGCAGUGGGGAAUUUUGGACAAUGGGGGCAACCCUGAUCCAGCCAUUCCGCGUGAGUGAAGAAGGCCUUCGGGUUGUAAAGCUCUUUCGGCAGGAACGAAACGGUCCUUUCUAAUAAAGAGGGCUAAUGACGGUACCUGAAGAAGAAGCACCGGCUAACUACGUGCCAGCCGCCGCAGUAACAC